GCAUUGGUUGUUCAGUGGUGGAAUUCUUGUCUUCCAUGUGAGAGACCCAGGUUCAAUUCCCUCUCAAUGCA
rnacentral:tRNA from 1 species